rnacentral:rRNA from 1 species
ACGCUGGCGGCGUGCCUAAUACAUGCAAGUAGAACGCUGAAGAGAGGAGCUUGCUCUUCUUGAAUGAGUUGCGAACGGGUGAGUAACGCGUAGGUAACCUGCCUUGUAGCGGGGGAUAACUAUUGGAAACGAUAGCUAAUACCGCAUAACAAUGGGUGACACAUGUCAUUUAUUUGAAAGGGGCAAUUGCUCCACUACAAGAUGGACCUGCGUUGUAUUAGCUAGUAGGUGAGGUAACGGCUCACCUAGGCGACGAUACAUAGCCGACCAGAGAGGGUGAUCGGCCACACUGGGACUGAGACACGGCCCAGACUCCUACGGGAGGCAGCAGUAGGGAAUCUUCGGCAAUGGGGGCAACCCUGACCGAGCAACGCCGCGUGAGUGAAGAAGGUUUUCGGAUCGUAAAGCUCUGUUGUAAGUCAAGAACGAGUGUGAGAGUGGAAAGUUCACACUGUGACGGUAGCUUACCAGAAAGGGACGGCUAACUACGUGCCAGCAGCCGCGGUAAUACGUAGGUCCCGAGCGUUGUCCGGAUUUAUUGGGCGUAAAGCGAGCGCAGGCGGUUAGAUAAGUCUGAAGUUAAAGGCUGUGGCUUAACCAUAGUACGCUUUGGAAACUGUUUAACUUGAGUGCAAGAGGGGAGAGUGGAAUUCCAUGUGUAGCGGUGAAAUGCGUAGAUAUAUGGAGGAACACCGGUGGCGAAAGCGGCUCUCUGGCUUGUAACUGACGCUGAGGCUCGAAAGCGUGGGGAGCGAACAGGAUUAGAUACCCUGGUAGUCCACGCCGUAAACGAUGAGUGCUAGGUGUUGGAUCCUUUCCGGGAUUCAGUGCCGCAGCUAACGCAUUAAGCACUCCGCCUGGGGAGUACGACCGCAAGGUUGAAACUCAAAGGAAUUGACGGGGGCCCGCA